AACGCGCCCUAGCGGGCUGUGCAUUGUUCCCAUUGUUUUGCUCCCAGUUAGUGUGCGCAAACAAAAUUUACCGGCGUCGGUCACAGUUACCCUUUGCCUGUUGCCUACAUCUCACACAGAACAUCCUCCAAGAGGUCGGGCUGUCUGCCGUUCCUCCAGCUUUCCUCGUACGAAAAACAAAGGAAACAGGAAGCUGACAAAGCUUAGCCUACUUUGGCUUCUGCACCACAACCCCUUGGCUAAACCAGGAAACUGCAGCAUUGUUUGAAGGAAGUGUGCAUUCUGAGAGCAGGAAAGGAAAGGGAGCUGCGCCUCCUCUUGACCUUUCGGCGUCUGCAAGGUUG